AGCUCUGUGGUGUAGUAGUAGCACGCGUCCUCGGUAUGGGGUAGACGCGGGUUCAAAUCCCACCUGAGGUU